rnacentral:rRNA from 2 species
CCUUAGAGUUUGAUCCUGGCUCAGAACGAACGCUGGCGGCAGGCUUAACUCAUGCAAGUCGAGCGCCCCGCAAGGGGAGCGGCAGACGGGUGAGUAACGCGUGGGAACAUACCCUUUGGUUCGGAAUAACUCAGGGAAACUUGAGCUAAUACCGGAUACGUCCGUAAGGAGAAAGAUUUAUCGCCAAAGGAUUGGCCCGCGUCCGAUCAGCUAGUUGGUGAGGUAACGGCUCACCAAGGCUACGAUCGGUAGCUGGUCUGAGAGGAUGAUCAGCCACAUUGGGACUGAGACACGGCCCAAACUCCUACGGGAGGCAGCAGAAGGG